rnacentral:rRNA from 1 species
GGAGGGUGCGAGCGUUAAUCGGAAUGACUGGGCGUAAAGGGCAUGUAGGCGGAUGAUUAAGCUAGGUGUGAAAGCCUCGGGCUCAACCUGAGAAUAGCAUUUAAAACUGGUGAUCUGGAGUACUGUAGAGGGAGGUAGAAUUCCACGUGUAGCGGUGAAAUGCGUAGAGAUGUGGAGGAAUACCGGUGGCGAAGGCGGCCUUCUGGACAGAUACUGACGCUGAGAUGCGAAAGCGUGGGGAGCAAACAGGAUUAGAUACCCUGGUAGUCCACGCUGUAAACGAUGUCGAUUUGGAGUUUGUUGCCUAGAGUGAUGGGCUCCGAAGCUAACGCGAUAAAUCGACCGCCUGGGGAGUACGGCCGCAAGGUUA